rnacentral:rRNA from 1 species
AGCGAACGCUGGCGGCAGGCCUAACACAUGCAAGUCGAACGAAGUCUUCGGACUUAGUGGCGGACGGGUGAGUAACACGUGGGAACGUGCCUUUAGGUUCGGAAUAACUCAGGGAAACUUGUGCUAAUACCGAAUGUGCCCUUCGGGGGAAAGAUUUAUCGCCUUUAGAGCGGCCCGCGUCUGAUUAGCUAGUUGGUGAAGUAAUGGCUCACCAAGGCGACGAUCAGUAGCUGGUCUGAGAGGAUGACCAGCCACAUUGGGACUGAGUCACGGCCCAAACUCCUACGGGAGGCAGCAGUGGGGAAUCUUGCGCAAUGGGCGAAAGCCUGACGCAGCCAUGCCGCGUGGAUGAUGAAGGUCUUAGGAUUGUAAAAUCCUUUCACCGGUGAAGAUAAUGACUGUAGCCGGAGAAGAAGCCCCGGCUAACUUCGUGCCAGCCGCCGCAGUAAAAC